CCUUUAAGGUGCACCGGUAGGAUAUUUGUGUCUCUCUCAAACUUCACUGUUUGAUAAACGAGAUCCCUUCGUGAACAGUCAGCAAGUUGGAUCGCUUGUGCUCCCAGGAUGCUUAUAUUGGCCUGAAGAGGUUAAGUUCUGCUUGCCAAGUGUCUCUUGCGCCUUUUCCAGAACUGCUUGUAGAUACUUUCCCUGGGCCUCAAUCCGGAGCUAGUACCUGGACUUGACGUUCUUUAUAAAAACUCAAUAUUGCAACUUUUGGUGGAUUCUUCAGAGUUUUAACAUGGUACCACAUCAUCUAUUUUUCUGUUGCAAUUCCUGUGAUCUUUAGCCUUAUAUGACUUUUCUUUCCUUCAUUAGCUUUGCCAAUAUGAUGAAUUAUGGAACUUCUAAUUAUUUUUAUUUUAUUUGUGUCUUUGCAUUUGCUCCAGCAUGCAUUCUCUUUGUGUUAUUUUGCUUUUCAAAUGGUUGUACUGCAAUAUACAGAGUAUUUUGGUGCAACUAUGCCUAGAAUGAUUCCCACAUGCAGUUUGCAAAGUUUUUGGACAUUUUGUUUCUGAACUUGCUGCAUUAUUUAUCAUUUCUGAAAGAGCUAUGAAUCAAACUAUGUUAUUGCUAAGGACCAAUGCUUGUCAUUCCUACCUCAAGUUGUUCAUGCAGCUGUCUUUGCACUUCAAUUUGCAUCUGAAGUGCUUCGCUUAUCUGCAUGGUCCUGAAAUUCAGCAACAAUUUUAUCAAUAAAAAAUAAUUUACAUGCAAAAUGAUUUUAAAUUUUCUUGUGCAGCUCUUACUUCUCUGCUUCACAUGUGGCACUUGUAUUGCUCACUAUCAGUCCACUUUGUCCUGGCGUUCUAUCAGCUGCUGCUACACAUCCUAUAACUGAGGGGGAAAAAAUGAUGAGCAUUUACAUCAAUUAGCAUAGCAAGUAGUGAAGAUGGCUACAUUUAGCCUUCAAUCUUACCAUUUUUUGUUGUUGCAAUAUUAGCUUGAGCUUGGAGAUUUUUACUCAGCCUGUACUUCUGAGAAAAAAGAAAAAAAUACAAAACAAAAAAGGAAACAGAUUUUUCUCCGUUUACGAAAAUCUGGCAUUUCUAGUGGAAAUAAUUAAAUAAAUAAGUUAAUGGGUACCUGAAGAUGGCUUUUUAGAUGAUAUAAGGUGAGUCCUGGAAUGCCCAUAAGCCUCAUGACUGUCUUGGGAGUUGCCUCUAAAAAUUUGUCGGAUACAUAUUAUUUACUACAGCAAUAUUGUCAGAAUAUAUAAUCUACUCAAAAAUAUAUAUUUAGUUAUCAUUUUUGUUUUUUUUUUUUUUUUUUUUUUGUUUGGACUCACUUUCUGCACCUCCUAGUUGGUUUACUGCUUCUAUGAAACGCUGAUGGAGCUCAGGAGUCCAUUUCAAUCGAGGCUUGGCAUCAGUAGAGAGAACCAGCCCUGACUCCCCUGUAACAUUUCCGCCUUGCAGAAACAGAUGCCGAUCUUGUGGAAACGCUGCUCUUGGAGAGAACAGAUCGCUAUGGCCUUGGUGUUGAUGAUACAUUUUCUGCUAAUUCAAUUGAUAUCAGAAUGAAAAUUAUCAAAAAAGAAAAGAUAUGAUGUGUAGAACUCCUUUAUCUUAAUUUUUAACUCUUUACCUGUUUUCCUCUUCGUCUCCUGUUAUUUCCUAUUAUGUAUGUGAAAACUUUGUCUUCUAGACUUUUUUUGGAGAAACAGGAACUGGCCUUUGAAGUCCCAGUUUCUGGGAAUAAGCUGGAGCUUCUUGAUCCCCCUUCUUACAAUGAUAAGGAGUGCCCUCAAGGAGCUCCUUAUAAGGCAAAACAGAAUAUGGAAUUUGUGCCAACUCCAUUUUUAAGAAAAGUAACACUAUAUAGUCCUUAGUUAUCUAUGGACCCAUCUCUGCAGCUUUUUUUUGUCAAUUCUCAAGCCGACUGUUCGACUGAAAUUCCGCACUAGCAAAAACUUUCACUUGUCAACUUUUUCUUAUGACAUAUGUUGAAGAAUUUACCCUUCAUAAUCCAUCUACUAUAUAUCAAACAGUAGAAAUUUCUUUUUCCUUUUUUGCUUUGGAUGGAAACUUUAUGUUAUAGUGGUCCAAAUCAUGGAUAGUUAUGCAGCUCUUCGGUCCCACUUCAUGUGAAAUUCUCUUCUCUUUGGGAACUUGAAGGGCCAUGAUUGGUGGUUGGCUUGAUAAGGAUUCCAGCAAAUGUCCUUGGCGAUGAAAUGUACUGCAAAUGGUAUAGAUUCACAUCGAUGACGAUGACAUAUGGAAUACGGGAAACUGUUGUAUUACUUAUUUGUUAAUGAUAGUUAGAAGCUUUUAAGAUUCUUUUGACUGAUGCCCAUGACAAGCAGUCCAUAGUAUUAUUUUGGGAUUCAUAGCCAGUACUAUUACUUGGUGCUCUAUGUACUACCUGAAAGCGAGGCUCGGAAUAUAGAACAAACAUGAAAUUCCCUUCUCUUUUUAAGAUUGGUGCUUAUUCCAUAUGUAGCAGAAAAAGUGAAGAGGAAAAGGGUCCUCUAACAACUUUGUUUGGAGGUUGCAAUCGGGUACUUGUUGCAUACUUGCGUCUGAAUUCUGUCAUUCUGUGAAAUCUAAGUGAUAAUAAAUAUUCAAAAUGGUAUUAUUUUCAUUUAUACAUUAUGUAAUUCCAUGGAAUGAGUUAUGAAGCUGUUUUAUUUUUAAUCAACUUUUUAUGAGUGAAUUUAUGCUCAUUUUUUGUACCAAAUUAUACAUAUUUUCCAAUAUCCACUUAUCUCCACUGUUUGGCUUGUGCAGGAAAUAAUAUUGGCUUUAAGCUAAGGAAAUGUAUCCUUCACUUUUAGAUUGUAGCUAGAAAAUUGCAGAAGUUAUGCGUCUCAUGUUCCUGCAUACUUGCUUCUGUAGCUCAGGUUACAUUCAUCUAUUAUUCUAUAUUUUUGGGUUCUCUUACCUUUGUAGUGCUGAUCUAUUACAUUUAUUAGAUUUUAUUGUUGAGACAUGGAUUAAAUUGUUGAUUUUUGUUGCUGCUUUGAUUUACUCUAUCAUGGUUAGAUGUAGAAGUUUCUUUUGGUUAAUGGUUAUAUACUAGAAAAGCUAUGCAAGGGGAAGUGUCUCUUCUAUUGGUAAGUCAUGAUAAAUAUCUUGUUCUAAAUGCAUGUAUAAUCUCCUUAAAUUGAAUAAUUUAUGACCUUGAGUGCAUUUGGUUGUUUAAUUUUCAUCUCCAGAUGCCCGAUAGUAUGUAUUUGGUCCACAGACAAAGUAUCAGAUGAAAGAAGAGACAAAAGGUCUCUAUGUUUUGAUCGCGUGGCUUAUUUUAAAGGGUUUACAAACAUGAUUACCCUUUUAUUCUCUAGGAAAAAGCAUCAUUUAAGCACUAAGAUAAAAUAUAUAUUGACAUGAUGCUAAUGAUCUGCUCCACCGGUUUAUGUAAGACAAACUGCUCUUAAACAAUUUUUUCUUUACUUAGAUAGUCAGAUAUGAUUCUGGAGAUUUGUUUCAAAGUACAAGAUUAUGCUUCACGAUUGCCAGUUAUUAUAUUGUUACCACCCUUGAGGACGAAUUUCUACUAACAAGGAUUUCUUUAGAUAGGUUACAUCAAAGUUUAAGAAGCUAACAAUUACAGACACACAUUAUGGCAUACAUCGACACGUGGACCCACUUGAGAGAAUAAUCAAAAGUCGUGCAAAUUGAGAGAAUCCGAAUACUUUAGGGCAAGAACUGGAAGGAAUAUAUCUUCUCUUUUCUUCUGAUUAAUCAAUUGAUCAUGACUGAUUGUUAUAUGACUACCACUUUGAAGUCUGGCAAUGGCAAACUGGAUCCAUUUUAGCAUUCAAAUAAUCGCGAAAGACUUUUUCGUAGUGGUAAUUCCUGAGAGAACAUUUGAAACUGCUACUUCUAUGAUAGAUUCAUCUUUAAUCUAUCCUAUUGUAAACUCCAAAUUCAGUAUACUACUGUUUUUUCACUUUCAAGGAAGAAAAAUAUACUGCUUUUUUGGGUUGAUAGGCGAUUUUAUUAAUUUCAGCUAAAGAAUGGAAAGAGCAGUUAAAAUAUGUUUGGUUUCUUUUAUCCAUACUGAGAAACAAGGUUAGUUUUUAUCGGAAGUUAAACUUUAUUUGCUAUGUCAAGGUUGCAGAUUGGGCUAUAUGUGUUUAGACCAUGUAAUUUGAGAAUUUAGAUCUUAGAACCUCAAUUCAGAGAGCAGUUUUCUUUUGUUUUUUUUCCCCCCCUCUUACUACCUGUCAUCCGAAUUUUCGUUAUGAUUAGAAAAUGAUUGAACCGCUAAAGAAUGCUAGACAAAGAAAAAUGGUGAAAGAGGAUGUAUACAUUGGGUCGUCCUCAUUUAACUCUUUUGGGAAUUCAUAUAGUUGACUCUACUUAUUGUGGGAAUAUUUUUGAGCAGAUUUCGUUCCAUCUCCUAAAAUAGUAUUGUUUCAACAACUUUCUUGAAAGGUGCAUGACAUAAACUUGUACUGAUUGAAGGGCUGGAGGAGUAUCACUUGAAAAAUGCACCAAAGUUCUGAUAAGGUUAUUUCUUCCUGCUCAUGAGGAUUAUGUACUUCUAAAUCUUUAGAUGGAUACAUUGUCACUUGAUCUCUCUUGUUCACAAAAAAUUUCAAGCUAAAUAUUGAUGCUGCAGUCCCUAUGGUCUCAUUUUUGUGAUUAACCACUUAGAUAAAGGAAAUCUCCUGUAUCAAAUUUAGCAUGCAUAAUUUUUUUUUUUUUUUUCACAUAGUAAAAACAUGUCUAAGCUGAAGCUAUCUCUCCUGAAUUUAUGUCAUCUUGUCAUGCAUCCUCUCUGAUCCCUUUUUUUUCUUUUUCUUUUUUUCUUUUUUAAUUUGCUCCAUUUUUCUAUCUUCCGUGAUCUCGAAGCUUCAUGUCGAUGACUGAAUCUAUUCUUAAUUAUAAGCUGUUUGCUGAGAACUUAUUCGCGCUGUUACCGUUGUAAUGGCGCAGGAUUUAUACUGCUUUUAUUUUAAUCUAGAUGCUAACCCAUCAUCGGAUUCUUCUUAAGCAUCCUAAUGUUCUCAUAGAUGGUGGAAUAUCUAUAGCUUAACUAGUAGAUUAUCUCAUAGAUGAUAUCUUUUUAAGAUUUUGUGUCCAUGCAUCCCAAUUAACUUCUGCUUCAGAAAAAAGCCAUUGGAGCCAAGAGUCCCCUUUCCUAACCAUCCAAAAUCCCCUCAGUAUUUGGUGGCUUAUUCCCAGUUGGGGUCAAUCAUACCCAAUUGAGUAAAUUACUUAUGUACUACUCCCUUUGACCAAAUCCAUGAUUUGAUGAGGAUUUAUUCUCCUACUUAUACUAUCUUAAUGGCAUAUAUUCUCUCGCAAUUUGUGAGCAUAAUUCUUUUCAGCCUUUGCCGCUUGUUGCAUAAUGUUUGGGGGGUUCCAUAGCUUCAUUUGUGGUGGUGGUGGGUCCUUUUGUACACAUCUGGUUAUUAACACAUUCCUUGCUGAAGUGAAAGAGUAGGGUGCUUCAGAAGGCCUGCUUCUGCUUCUUUCAGAAGCACUUUUCAUUUGAGUAUAUGCUUAAAUUGCAAUUAACUAUGUUGUGUUCUCGGACUAAGUGAUUGGUACUGUUCAUUAGAUGCUUCAGAAGAAGCCAUUCCCAGAUUUGGAUCUGAUGCCAA